GUCUCCUUGCGCUUUCAGGUUUCUGUAUUUACAGAAACGCUAACGAAUUUACACAGUUAGUUGACUUUGACCUCCUCUUCUCUUUUACUCGGCUUUUUAUCUUCGUUCUUCUCGCCCUCUGUAUUUUCCGUGUUACGGCUUCCAUCACGCCUACACGUGUCUCCUCUGUACACCUAAAUUCCUAGAAUGAUCCAACGGAAUGACAUUAAUUACUUCACCAAACACCUAUUUCCUUUUAAGGCGUACGUACCAUCGAGCCGUUACUUUUUGCCUUGCUCGUUUCGCGUUUUCACAGCUUUUAAUCUUCUUGGGACGCGCUAAGUUUGCCAAGAAAUUAGCUAGUUGUUUUACUUUAACAAAAAUGACCUUCCUCCAGGAGUUAAAAAGAUUUUUACGAAUAACUGUAUUCAGUAGCAAGUGUAUGAGUUACGAAUGGACUGCGGAUGUUCAUAAUCUUCAAGUAGUUUUUCCUUUUUCUAUUUACAAACUAAAUAAAAAUUUCAUAAUAGCCAUCUUCGCGAUGGUCUUGUUAAUUCUCUUAGAGAGGAAACAAAUUGAAGUUACGUACUUUAUUGUUCAAGCUAUUAAAUCCUUAAAUCAGUUGGCACCCUGUUGGCUACCCUGUAAAUAGGGAAAGUCCCUAUACCAGAUUCGAUCCUGUACGCUCCUCACUGUACCUGAAAAUUCGUGUAACACUAUAUAUGAAACAGAAAAGUACAGUAAUAGGGGAGAAUAACAGAGAAGGUAGCAACUAUAGUUGCACGCAAAAGUAUUUGUACGUUUGCCAUAGAAAACUUUUAUGUCCAUAUUGCACGUGUUAUAUAAAACAUUUUGAAAUUUCAUUAGCGCUGUAACGAAGGUCGACUGCCAUGAUCGUAUUGGUAAAGUUUAAACAGACCUGGAAAUAUACAUUAGAAACUACAAAAUAUUUAAUGCAGGUAUAUAUUUCACAGACAUCAGAGAAGUAUUUGAGCAGUCAAUUAUUCAUUGUAUGAACAGUUUUGAGUAUUCUGUGUGGCCAUCUUUAACACGUAUUAUAUGUUUAAAAUGGCUAUUCAUACAAUGUAUUAAUUCUUUACUAAAUAUAUAUUUGUAGUAAGUUGCUCAGAUUAAGUUUCUUCUCAAUUUAUUGGAAGAUAACCUAAAUCAUAUUAAUCCCUAGACCAGGAAGACCAACAGGGGAAAUAACUUCCUACAUGCCAAUAAGCUUACUGUAACUUCUAUAUGAAUUUUGCGAUUGAUCUCAAAUCUGACCGAUAUAGUGGAAACAAUCAUGUCUGAUUAAGGUACUGAAGAAAUUCAAGAUGUUCUAUGUAACACAUGCAAUAUAAAUGUACAAGUUUUCUAUGGUAAGCGUUUAAGUAUUUUCAUUAGGCACUGUAUAGAGACGGAUGUACGUGCAUGUAGGAAUAGAUACUAAAUAUAGGAAUGCAGAAAGAACGUUAGACGGAAGGAAUAUACAAAGACAGAAGCAGAAAGAGGCAGAGAUCGCGUUUCAGUGACUAACACCGUUGAAAGUUCGAACGUGGCCAGCCUUGUAUCCGCGAUGCGUACGUGACAAGAGGCCAGGCACGUGGCAAAACCGUAAAAAAGUGGGGAUCGUGGUUGGUAUAAUUCGCAGUCGAAUACCGGCCUUGAGCAGACAAAACUUUUUAGCCUCUACCCGUAAUAAAUCCACCGCUUUCUGCGAUAAGUGUUUUCACGUUUAAACUACUAAUGAACUCCAGACCGAACGAAGCAACAGAAAAAAAAGAAAAGAAAAGAGAAAAAAACUGUAGCGAAGUAAUUUCGGAAACUUUUUCUUCUCUAGAAAGCGAAGACGUUUAUAUAGGAAUCAAUUCCGAUACGCUGUUUUAUCGACCGAUAAAAUAGUCGUGAUAUUAAUGGCUUCGCGUAGAUAUCUCUUUACAUAGCCUUUACCGAGAGUCGAUCGAUGUUUCUGUCUUAUUAUGAUACGAUUUUAUGUAGAGCAUAAAAGUUAUAUAGAUUUUAUCGUGAAUAGAAAUGGCCACUCAAAGUCUCGGCUAAUCACGAACUGACGUAAUCGUCAUUUGCGCAUGGUUUAUAUGGACCUAACCUAUAAAAAUCUUGUAAAAGGAUUUCACAGUACACGUUGUCUCGAUGAGAUUUUACAUUUAUUUAUUUACUUAUUUAUGGCUUGAAACAGCUUUUAACAUCUAGUACAAUUACAUAGAUCUCACAACUUUAAUGCCUUUAAUAUGACAAAAAGAUUGAACACUGAAUUAUUAGGUUAUCUUUGACUUUUCCACUCUCCGUUAAGCCCCUAUCCUGUAAAUUAAGCUCCUAAGGAAAUCAUGUAUUAUGAGGAUCGUAUAAAAGUAGUCGUAUCACACGUAUGCUUUAAUGUAAAGCAAUUAUACUGAAUAUUCCAAAUGAAUACAAACAUUUACGAAAUCGGUAUGUAUGUUUGCUAAAUUUGAAUACAUACAUCAUAUACAUAACCUAUUAAUUCAGUUUAGUUCCGCUAUAGUUGGUUGAGAUGCAGUAGUAAUACAGAGAAGGGAUUUAGAAUUAUUUAUCAGGAUAUUUCCAUAUCUCAUUUUUUUUUUCGCAAAAUGUUACAGUCCAGUAUCCGCAUACAGAUUAAUGUUCCAGAAUUGAUCCCCAUUUUCCUUGGGCCAGCAACAGUCAGUACAAAGAGUAGUCUGUGUUGCAAUUCGCUCGACGUAGUUCUUGCUGUAAUUUAUGGUGCCUCAACAUUGCCUUAUAGUCCAACUUUAGAAUGUCUUGCCUUUAAUAUGUACCGUUUCUUUCACCAACAGCAUCUCAUUUCCUCGCGAUACAAAUUAUAGGAACAGUAUUGUUUUUUAGUAUUAGAAGACAAAUAAGAAAAAUAAAAAAAUGUAUCGUAUUACAAUUUCUUUUGAUGUUUUACACAAUGCAACGUGACGAACGUAUAAAUGUAUUUAAAUACAACUAAUGAAAUAUACGAUAAGUAUCCAUACAUCUAUAAUUCAUCUUCUCAGCGUUGUUUAUAUCGUGUAUAAAUGUUAUACGUAAUAAAAUAUACCAGGCGUUUAACAUCGAUAUUCAUUUUAUUUCUGCACAGGCUUAGCUUUCUAGUUUCGAUGAUCGUCGACCAUACCAGCAGACAAAAUACGCCGGAUAGAUUGAUUUUACGAUCGGCUUGAUGAUUAUAUGUUAUUUGUUGUCGCCUUUGCUGCAUCUUUGAGUAUCUUCGACAUGCAUCCGGUUGUUUAGCAUCGCAUUAAUGGUCGUUUCUAUGCUAUGUUCGCUGCAGUCUUCAAAGUGUUCCGGCAUUCUUCAUUCAACUUUCAGUACACGUGUGUAUCUCCGGGAUUUUUAUUUAUUUUUCCCAUCGUUUAGAUACGAGAAGUAGUAGACGCGAGGGACGUUAAUCUCUUGCCAUGUUCCCGAAUCUUUGCCCAAGGCUUUUGAUAUUAUUUGACAAACAAGGCGGUGAAUUUUAUAGCGAACAUCACGAUCUCUACACGAAUUUUCUGUAUCUUUUCUAACACUCGUCCUGGAUUCAUCAUUAUUAUUACUAUUAUUAUUAAUAACGUGCGAUAGAAACUCUAGUUUACAGUAACACAAAGGUGUGAUACAUCUAUGAAAGAUUGAAAGUUGCAGAUUAGAUCAAGAAUCAAUGUGGUAAGGAUAUGGACUUUCUCAUAAAAGAUUCUAUAAAAGGAAAAUCAAGUAACAGUGUAAUGGCAGAUGUUUACAUUAUCGAUCAGGAUCACGAGUUUCUAAAAUAUUAUGUAUGCUAUAUACUUUAUGGAGAAAACAUUUUCUAACUGAAUAAAAAUUUUACGUACAAACAUAAUAAUUAUAUAUAUAUAUAUAUAAUUAAUUGAAAAUUCUCAUACGAUUAUCGACGAGGAACAGAGUAUUCGUAUACAGUGCUUUUCAAACAAUUAGUGGACUAACGUGAAUGGUUCUAUUACAUCAAUUAAGGGAAUGAAAGCAGAGAAGUUAUAUAGGCUUGAUAAAUUGAAACGUUACUCAGAGUAUGAUACUAUCAUAAAGGUUCACUUUAAGAUAAUCGUUAGAGGAAGAACGAAUAGAAGCAGCAAGCGAGUAUAAAAAAGAAGCCAAAGCGAUGCACAAAAUAAUCCUGUAGUUAUCUUAAAUAUUUUGGGAAUAAAAUAAAAUAUAAUUGGCGUUGUAUAGUAUUAUUUUUGUAUCACUUUUUUUAUUUAAUUCUUUCGGUAUUACCGCUUAAGGAAAGGUUCGCUGUUCACAGUUCAGGUUACGAACUUUCCACGUGUUACA